rnacentral:rRNA from 1 species
GGAGUCUAGCGUGUGCGCGAGUCAUUGGGUGUAAAACCUAAAGGCGCAAUGAAAGUGUCAGCGGUGCCUGCGCACCGCGUCGGGAGGAUGGGCCGCCGCACGAUCACUCGUCGGAGCCCCGCACUCCCGGGGCGUCUCGUUCUCAUCACGAGUGGAGACGCACCAGGAGCGCACACGCUGGUACCCGAAAGAUGGUGAACUAUGCCUGGCCAGGACGAAGCCAGGGGAAACCCUGGUGGAGGUCCGAAGCGAUUCUGACGUGCAAAUCGAUCGUCUGAGCUGGGUAUAGGGGCGAAAGACCAAUCGAACCAUCUAGUAGCUGGUUCCCUCUGAAGUUUCCCUCAGGAUAGCUGGCUCUCGGGAAGAGACGAGUCUCAUCCGGUAGAGCGAAUGAUUAGAGGUGAUGGGGUCGAAACGACUUCAACCUAUUCUCAAACUCCCAAUAGAUGAGAGCCCAGGCUUGCUUAAAAGUGAAGCCGCGGGACUCGGAUCAGAGAUGCCAAGUGGGCCAAUUUUG